AUGUCUCUGUGACAAUAAAUUUGUUUUUGUUUUCUUAACGUUCAUCAAUUACAGGUUUUCUAUACUGUUUAUCUCGCUUGUUGCAAAAACAUACCAAUUUACCUCGCCGUUGAAAUGGACGACGCUGAAUUAGAGUCUCAGGUCCACAGAUAUUUAAAUAUGUUCACACAUUGUUAUUAUUUUGCAUAGUUUUUCUUGCAAAUAUUUUAUUUAUUAGAUCUCGGUUUCCUGGUUCGAGAAAUCGCAGAUAAAGUUAAUAUGCCCUACAAAAGACUUUGGAAAUUUAUGGCAAGAAGGUGUAUAAGUGUCAGAACUAUGUACAGCACAAUGUCUUUGGAAGUUCUUCAACUACCCGUAUACCAGAUCUGCACUGAGAACCAAAGGCUUGUGACCUGCGAUUUCUCGAACCUGGAAACCGAGAUCUAAAUAAAUGCUAAUGCACUGCAGAAUGACAAUGCGAGAUGGAGUUUUUACCCAAACUGGUGCACAUAAUCAUGAUGCUUAGUUUGGAGAACAAAAUCGGGCAGCUGCAGUGAAUGAGUGUUUAAAUGUAGCACGUCCCUCGAAUGGGACGGCAAGGACCAAAGAGGAUUCUCGAGAUGGCUCGCUCUGUGCAUCUUGAAGCCAGAAUUGCUUUAAGUCCAGCGCUAGAGCGAAGGAUUCAGCGGGAGAAGAGAAGCAACCAGCCACUUCCACUUGUAUCGAUCGACGAUAUGAUGGAGUCCAUGGAAUUUCACCCUGUUUUCAAAGAAACCAUCCGUGGUGACCUUUUCUUCCAUGGGACUGUCCGUUCUGAUGAAGACGACGACGUUCCGGAAGUUGGCUUAAUUUUCGUUUCCCUUCUGCUUCUUGGUCAACUUGGAGAAGCGACUUCCAUGCACCUUGAUGGCACUUUUCAUACGGUGCCAGCGUUGUUUUAUCAACUACUGACAAUUCACGUGAUAGCCUAUAAUAAGAAAGACCCGUGAUCUUUACACUUCGAUUCGAAGAUCGCUUCCCUGAAAAGCCAAUCGCAAUCUAUGACAUCGUCACCGAUUUUGAACUUGCCUUGAUGGGAGCAGUUUCCGAUGUCAUGGAUGUGGAAUCAAGAGGCUGUUGGUUCCAUUACGGCCAGGCCAUCAUAAGAAAGUCAGGGAUGCUGCAUCUCAACCGGGACUAUCGGAGGAGGGGGUGCGGUAGCCCAUAUUAUACAGGAGAUAAUCGGCCUUGCCCUCUUGUUGGCAGAAAAAAUCAAUGAGGGAUUUGAGGACAUACGGCGAUCCCAUCGUCGUCAUUUGGCUCUCGAAUCUCGGGAGACUAAUCAGGCAAUGAAUUCUUUACACACAUAUUGGACUGGAUAUUGGCUUGGCACUGUCACUCCAGAACGAUUUAGCUGCCAUGGAAAAGAAAAUCGUACAAAUUAUUUCGUUGAGUCAUGGCACAGAUGGUUCAACAAACGCUGUGUCCAUUCCCAUCUCAACGUCUGGGAUUUUCUCGAUGAAUUAAAAGAAGCCGAAGAGUCUGAGUCCCGUGAUUUCUUAACGGCUGAGAACGGUGACCCGAUUGGUCGUGGGUCAACACCAGCCCAGAGGGAAAAAAAACCGGAAAAUCGCAAGAAAUUCGUCCCUCCUUGAAGAUGGUUAUUUAACUAUCCGCGAAUUUCUCGAGCGGACUAGGAAAACAUUUAGUGUUCCAUUACCUGCUGACGACGAAGCCGUGGAAGACGAGCUCAACGCAGAGGAGGCCCCCGAAGAUAUACAAGGUGAUGUCUCUAAUGGGGAUAUUCCAGAUAUUCCUUACGGUCGCGGUCGACAACGAUUCCGUGCAGGUGUGCGCCUCACUGACCGUCAACGCAGAGCAAUCGAGCAGCAGCACGGCAUAACCGUCGUGAAAUUUUGGAAAAUCUGCCUGCGCGGAAUGAAACCCCCCCCCCCACCAGGCCCCCCAACUCCGGGUUCUCCUCCACCGCAUCCGGUGAAACCUCCAACGCGCCCAGAUACCCCACUAUUUUCUCUUUGUCCGGUAACCCCGGUGGUGUCCCCGUUUCGCCCAGAGGCCCCAGAAAUACCUCCGGCCCCGGUUACUCCGGACACCAAUUCACCCGCUGACUCCGAAAACUUAUUUUCGCUCGAUGACUCGAUGGCAUAAGAACCAGGGGCUGGUGUUGGGGCGGGGCUAGUG